ACCACCUUACCUGUCUACUGAGAAACCUGUAUGCAGGUCAAGACGCAACAGAACCGGACUUGGAACAACUGACUGGUUCCAAACUGAGAAAGUAGUACGUCCAGUCUGUAUACUGUCAGCCUGCUUACUUAACUUAUGUGUAGAGAACAUCAUAUGAAAUGCUGGGCUGGAUGAAUCACAAGCUGGAAUCAAGAUUGCUGGGAGAAGUAGCAACAACCUCAGCUAUAACCUGUAACAUAUAUAUGUUAUGUUAAUUGAAGUAUACCUUCAAUUAAAAAAAUUAAGGAAAGUAUUAAAGAAAUGUAAAUCUUGAAUAACCUUCCACAGAUUACCUUCCGCAGCAUAGGUGGCUCUCAUCUAAUCAGAUGAAGGCCUUAAUAGGAAAAUACUGAUGUUCCCAAGAAAGAAGGAAUUCUGCCUGCAGACUGCUUUUAGACUCAAAUUGCAAUUCCUCCCCGAGUCUCCAGUCUGCCAGCCUACCCUGCAGAUUUUGGACUUGCCAGGCCUCCAAAUCAUGACGAGGCUAAAGGAGCAAACCAUUCCUGAGAUGUGCUAAUCUGGAGAUGGUCUUGCAGUAGAGGAAAUAGCAAGAUGUUUGGAACCACAUGAUGGGUCUUAAAGUUUCUGAUUGGAAGUGGUCUUUGUCAUUUCUGCUCACAUUUCACUGACCAAUGCAAGUUAUAAGACCAGACUUGGCAUUAUUCAGGCAAAGAGGUACAAACCUUCUACAGAGAGAGGAAGUGAAUAUUUGAAAAAUAUAAUGCAAUAAACCACAUUUGGAUCUGUGGAUCUAUACCCUUAACUAGCAGGCACAAUAUAACACAGGAAAAUGCCUGUGUUUGACCCCGUUUGACCCCGUUUUGCAUUAAGAUGGGUUGGAAAAAGAUAACAAACUGAAAGGUAUAGCCCUUAUGUGAUCAAGAUAUUUUGUGAUCUUGAAGAAAAAACGAUUUCAGGUGAAAGUGAGAAAUAGAUAAAACUGGCAAUAAAGACUCUUGCCUGGGUAGGAUAAACAGAGGACCUAAGAAAAGCAGCAUGUUCUUCAAGAUCUGGAGAAGGAACAUAAUACGUAACAUUCCUGAGGAGGCUGGUGUUCAGGUUAAUAAUCUAGGUUUGCACUCUCCUCUCACCCACAGCUCUAAAGGGUUCUGUGGAGCUUUAUCAGAUUCAUUUCCCAGCAGGGGAGUUCCAGAGGAGUGUUUCUUGCGCUAACAAUUUGUUCAUAACAGGGGAAGAAAGAACCCACUAUCACUGGACUGGAUGUCUGGGUACAAUAAAAAUUAUAUUUCAGAGUUUCC